rnacentral:rRNA from 1 species
UUGAACGCUGGCGGCAUGCCUUACACAUGCAAGUCGAACGGUAACAGGUCUUCGGAUGCUGACGAGUGGCGAACGGGUGAGUAAUACAUCGGAACGUACCCAGUCGUGGGGGAUAACUACGCGAAAGCGUGGCUAAUACCGCAUACGCCCUGAGGGGGAAAGCGGGGGACCUUCGGGCCUCGCGCGAUUGGAGCGGCUGAUGUCGGAUUAGCUGGUUGGUGGGGUAAAGGCCUACCAAGGCGACGAUCCGUAGCUGGUCUGAUAGGAUGAUCAGCCACACUGGGACUGAGACACGGCCCAGACUCCUACGGGAGGCAGCAGUGGGGAAUUUUGGACAAUGGGGGAAACCCUGAUCCAGCCAUGCCGCGUGCAGGAUGAAGGCCUUCGGGUUGUAAACUGCUUUUGUACGGAACGAAAAGAUCUCUUCUAAUAAAGGGGGUUCAUGACGGUACCGUAAGAAUAAGCACCGGCUAACUACGU